rnacentral:rRNA from 1 species
CAGCCGCCGCGGUAAUACGGAGGGCGCGAGCGUUACCCGGAUUUACUGGGCGUAAAGGGCGUGUAGGCGGCCUGGGGCGUCCCAUGUGAAAGGCCACGGCUCAACCGUGGAGGAGCGUGGGAUACGCUCAGGCUAGAGGGUGGGAGAGGGUGGUGGAAUUCCCGGAGUAGCGGUGAAAUGCGCAGAUACCGGGAGGAACGCCGAUGGCGAAGGCAGCCACCUGGUCCACUUCUGACGCUGAGGCGCGAAAGCGUGGGGAGCAAACAGGAUUAGAUACCCGAGUAGUCCCUGUCUCUUAUAC